rnacentral:rRNA from 1 species
GAUGAACGCUGGCGGCGUGCCUAACACAUGCAAGUCGAGCGAGAAUUUCCUGAAUGAAACUUCGGUCGAAUGAGGGGAAGGAAAGCGGCGGACGGGUGAGUAACGCGUAGGCAACCUGCCCUUUGCAGAGGGAUAGCCACUGGAAACGGUGAUUAAAACCUCAUAACACGGGACUGAGACAUCUCAGACCCGCCAAAGAUUUAUCGGCAAAGGAUGGGCCUGCGUCUGAUUAGCUAGUUGGUGAGGUAAGGGCUCACCAAGGCAAUGAUCAGUAGCCGUACUGAGAGGUAGAACGGCCACAUUGGGACUGAGACACGGCCCAAACUCC